rnacentral:rRNA from 1 species
UACGAGGGGGGCGAGCGUUGUUCGGAAUUAUUGGGCGUAAAGAGCUCGUAGGUGGUUUGUCGCGUUGUUCGUGAAAUCUCACGGCUUAACUGUGAGCGUGCGGGCGAUACGGGCAGACUAGAGUACUGCAGGGGAGACUGGAAUUCCCGGUGUAGCGGUGAAAUGCGCAGAUAUCGGGAGGAACACCGGUGGCGAAGGCGGUUCUCUGGGCCUUACCUGACACUGAGGAGCGAAAGCGUGGGGAGCGAACAGG